AGAAAACCAGUGCCUGUUGGUUGUUAUAGGAAACUACUGGACUGCUCAGAAUUAUGCACUGUUUGCUCCUGAUCCCUCGUGAUAUUGUCAGUCUAGUCAGAAGAUUUCUUAUGUCGAUUCAAUUUUUUUUUAUAGAGCUAUAGCAUGUUAUAUUCUGGGGCAAGUUAUAUUAAUCAGAUUGUUUGAUUUGAUUGAAAGCCUUGGUAAUGGUCACAUCUGAAGUUCUGGUGAUUUUAGUAGUUAUGUUGCUUUGUUUGGAAGCCAGGACAGUUCAUUUAGAGCUAAUAAUAUACAUGAACAUGGAGAUGAUUCUACGAUUAUAAUAGUUGGAGCAUCUUUUUAUGCAAUAUUGAUGCUUCUAUUUAUAGACAAAUUUGUUUCUUUGCUUGCAUACAUGAGUUUCUAUGCAUAGCAAUUAUGAUUUGAUAAUCUGACUACAUAAAUAAUAGUUUUUACAGAUUGUUUUCAUGUACUUUUGAUUUGGCAAUCUGACUAAAUAAAUAGAGUUUCUAUGCACUUCUAUGCAUGUUUUUAUGUGCGCGAUUAUGCUUUUGAAUGCAAAAUUGAUUUGAAUAAAUGGACCAAACACAUGCUAGCCUUUGUAAAUUUAAUUUAGUAUGUGUUUCGUUUUGGUAGUAUAUGUGGCACCAAAUGAUUAAGUGUUCUGGGAGUAGCAGCUUCACAGAGGAAUAGGUGGAUUUUUUAUGCCCGUGAAUUAUUUUUUUGCCACAUAAAAUUGUUUUUUCCCCUAUAAUUACUAGAUCAUUGGAUGCAUAGUAACUAAAGCAGCAAGAUAAGGGGAAGAAGAGGGACACACUGGCUGACGACGUGGACAACGGCAACGGUGUUGCACGAGACAUCCAAGGAUUUUUACGUGAUUGUUUAACAUUUUUUAUGCCUUCAUGGAUGUUUUGUGCUUAGCCUUGAUUUAAUGUGAAUGCAACUCAAAUCAUUUCCUGCAAAUUUAUUUCUGUCCUUGCAUAUAUAAGUUUCUAUGCAUAGCAGUUAUGACUUGGCAAUCUGACUAAAUAAAUAAUGAAUUUCGCAGAUUGUUUUCAUAUACUUUAAUUUUUUAUUUCUAUACUUCUUGAGCCAACCGUGCAAUUAAGAAAUCAUCUGGAACUCUAUACAUUGUUGGAGCAUAUUUUAUACAUUGUUGGAGCAUAAUUUUAUACAUUUAUACAUUGUUGGAACUCAAUUUUAUAUGUUUUGUGCUUUCUAAUUUUCUAGUAUUUGCAUCAAUGUAAGUUUCUAUUCUAGCAUUAGUGAGUUUCUAUGCAUAUCUUCAAUUUUCUCUGAUAAGAGGCUAAAAUUACUUAUUUUUGUGAAACUACUGCAUGAGUGUAGUGCCAAUCAACGGUGGCGGAUGGUGGCGUGGACAACGACAAUGGCACGGCGUGGUCAACUGACUAGAGGCAAGCCGCAAGAGGAUCCUACACCUACUGCUGCAGCCCUCCAGGCUUCCCAUGUGUUCUAUGCUUAGGUUUUUACACAUUUAGAUCCUGUAUUUUGACUAUGAAAUUUGAUUGUUUUUUUUUUGCUGAUUUAGAACAUGACACAUAUCAAUUUGUGUGCUUGUAGCUCUUGAUUGUUCAAAUUAUUCAUGCUUAGUGUGCAUAGGAUUCUAUGCAAUUCAUUUUCAUGCAAUUUUGAAUUUUGGAUGUAAAUUUCUAAUUACUUACCUCCACUAAGCUUUCUAUGCUUGGAAGUAAUAAUUUGUGGUGGGUUCUAGAUGCUUGCCCCAUGACAUUCGAUAUAUUGUUGGUCCCCCAGGGCCAUCCAUCUCUGAGCUACAGAAUGAACAACAAGGUCAAUUCAAAAUUUAUUUCUCCAUUCAUCUAUAUCGGAUGCCUCUAAAUUUUGACGGAUUGUUAUAUGCACUGUUACAUUUCUAUAUGUAUACUCAACUUUCUGUGAUUUUAUCACUAGUGUUUUUAUACUUCUAGUGGCAAGGUUCUAUGUGUUGUUACAUUUCUAUGUGUAUUGUCAGUGCGAUAAUCUAGUGGCAAGGUUUAUGCAGAAUUUUAUAUACAUUAAUGGAUAGUAUUUUAUAUAUUGUUGGAACACAAUUUUAUACAUUAUUGAGGUAUAUUUAUAUAUAAUGUUGGAUCACAUUACUAGAUGACAUUUCUAUAGUUUUUAUGACAUGCAUUCUUUUAGAUGACUUCUAUACAUCACUAGAUGAUAUUUCUAUAGUUUGUUACAGAUUUCUAUACAGUUAUCAAUAAUGACUAUUGUAGUUUGUUUUAUUGUACUUUGUGUGAUCUUUUUGGUCACAUAGGGUGUUUUAUGAAUUUGACCUUGGUUGUUUAUGCUUCACUAAAAUACAAUGAGCACAAGGGAUCCAACUGCGGCUAGAUCAAUUUAUUUUUGUGUUUUUAUGACAUGUUUGAAUAUUUUGUGUAUCUGAGGAAUAUAGCCAUAGGUCGUAAAUUUUUUAUGCCAACUGUGUAAUAGCUAAAGUGUAACGUGUGUGUAUCAGUUUAAAUGCUCUAUAUAUUGUUAGUAUAGAAUUCUAAACACUGUUGGUAUACCAGGUCAGAGGGGAUGAGCGGCGAGGCCACCAAGUCUGAAAGCGGCGACAGGCUCAUGGGUCCAGGGACGGCUCGUGUCCACAGCCGACAGCUUGUAUCAGCAUAAAUAAUUGUGGCCAAAUCUUUAUCUUUUGCAAGCUCCUAUAGUCUAGUUUGAUUGUUUAUUAAUUACAUUAAAAGUCAUUCCUAGUUUUUAUGCAUUCUAAUUUGGGUAGCCAUAAUGUGCAGUAAGGCAAUAGUCACUACCAACAUUGGCUGAAACUAGUUGUAUUGUUCUGUGCUUUGGAUUUUGAUUUUUAUAAAUGGUCUGUGAUUGUUUAA